GAUUGGUUGUGUUGAACUCUACGCUCAUCGAUGUGUCUGGUGAAAGACUCAGAGUGAGACAUCCUGUGGCUGGUGGACGAUCUGUGGACGGUUCCUGUCUCCCUCACAUUCUGCCUGGAAACAAAACAGCUGAGAGGAGACUCGAUCAGAACCAGCUGUGACUUCCUGUGAUGGGGGGAGAGCAGAGCGGGGAGGAGGAGACGGAGGAGAGAGAAGAGGAGGAUGAAAAACAUCACGAGUCCAACGACGCCUCUGAAGGAGAGCUGCCCCAGUGCAGGAUGGGAAACAGGAAGGUGGACAACAUGUGUUUCAUGAUCUCCUGCACUAACUGGUACUGAACUGGUUCUGGUGCAGCAGCUCGACCACUGAAGAACGAGUACAAGCUGUUUUAUGUUGUUCUUUAAAUGAAGAGUUAACGGCUCCAGGUCCAAACUCCUCCGUGGAAACAGAUGAAUCCACUUUUCUAUUGUUUCUUUAUCUGAAUCACAGGUGUAACAGAUUCCAGCUCUGCCACAUUAACCAGUGUCUCUUAGUUAAAACUACUGGGACCAAAGAAGAAUUUAUUAAAUCACAACUUCUAUAAACUCUCCUGCUUCCUCUGUGACGGACAUGCUCACAGGAGCAGCUCUGAGAAGAUAAACCACGUCAGUGUGUUUGUGUCUUUAGUUCCAGAUUCAACCACUUUUCUUUUGACCUGCAAAAACAGAAUUUUGAAAAAUGUGAUGAUAAAAAUGUGAUGAUGAUGAUAAUUUCCCUGAGGAUAUUAAAUGAAACUACACAAAG